AACAGCGUAAUUCAGAGGAAGAAUGCGAGGCUCAUAUAAUUAUGGUUACCUCGAAGUCACUGGAUCGAAACCAGUCGCUGUUA
rnacentral:tRNA from 1 species